rnacentral:rRNA from 1 species
UACGUAGGGCGCAAGCGUUGUCCGGAAUUAUUGGGCGUAAAGAGCUCGUAGGCGGCGUGUCGCGUCGGUUGUGAAAGCCCGGGGCUUAACCCCGGGUCGGCAGUGGAUACGGGCAGGCUAGAGGUAGGUAGGGGAGAAUGGAAUUCCCGGUGUAGCGGUGAAAUGCGCAGAUAUCGGGAGGAACACCGGUGGCGAAGGCGGUUCUCUGGGCCUUACCUGACGCUGAGGAGCGAAAGCGUGGGGAGCGAACAGG